rnacentral:rRNA from 1 species
AUGCGCGCUGGCGGCGUGCCUAAUACAUGCAAGUCGCGCGAACGGACGAGAAGCUUGCUUCUCUGAUGUUAGCGGCGGACGGGUGAGUAACACGUGGAUAACCUACCUAUAAGACUGGGAUAACUUCGGGAAACCGGAGCUAAUACCGGAUAAUAUUUUGAACCGCAUGGUUCAAAAGUGAAAGACGGUCUUGCUGUCACUUAUAGAUGGAUCCGCGCUGCAUUAGCUAGUUGGUAAGGUAACGGCUUACCAAGGCAACGAUGCAUAGCCGACCUGAGGGGGUGAUCGGCCACACUGGAACUGAGACACGGUCCAGACUCCUACGGGAGGCAGCAGUAGGGAAUCUUCCGCAAUGGGCGAAAGCCUGACGGAGCAACGCCGCGUGAGUGAUGAAGGUCUUCGGAUCGUAAAACUCUGUUAUUAGGGAAGAACAUAUGUGUAAGUAACUGUGCACAUCUUGACGGUACCUAAUCAGAAAGCCACGGCUAACUACGUG